rnacentral:rRNA from 1 species
AUACGUAGGGGGCGAGCGUUGUCCGGAAUUACUGGGCGUAAAGGGCGUGUAGGCGGCCGAGCAAGUCAAGUGUGGAAAGCCUCGGCUUAACCGAGGCAUUGCACAUGAAACUGCAUGGCUUGAGUGCAGGAGAGGGAAGUGGAAUUCCUAGUGUAGCGGUGAAAUGCGUAGAUAUUAGGAGGAACACCAGUGGCGAAGGCGACUUCCUGGACUGUAACUGACGCUGAGGCGCGAAAGCGUGGGUAGCAAACAGGAUUAGAUACCCUGGUAGUCCACGCCGUAAACGAUGGGUACUAGGUGUGGGUAGUUCACACUAUCCGUGCCGCAGCAAACGCAAUAAGUACCCCGCCUGGGGAGUACGGCCGCAAGGUUGAA